rnacentral:rRNA from 1 species
UAAGGAAUAUUGGUCAAUGGACGCAAGUCUGAACCAGCCAUGCCGCGUGAAGGAUGAAGGUCCUCUGGAUUGUAAACUUCUUUUAUCUGGGACGAAAACGGGAUUUUUAUCUCAAUUGACGGUACCAGAGGAAUAAGCACCGGCUAACUCCGUGCCAGCAGCCGCGGUAAUACGGAGGGUGCGAGCGUUAUCCGGAUUUACUGGGUUUAAAGGGUGCGUAGGUGGGCUUAUAAGUCAGUGGUGAAAUCUCCGAGCUUAACUUGGAAACUGCCGUUGAUACUAUAGGUCUUGCAUUAUCUGGAGGUGAGCGGAAUAUGUCAUGUAGCGGUGAAAUGCUUAGAUAUGACAUAGAACACCAAUUGCGAAGGCAGCUUACUACAUAUAAAUUGACGCUGAGGCACGAAAGCGUGGGGAUCAAACA